AUGAUAUUUGUUCUAGUUUUUAAGAAUCAAGCCUAUCUCCAGAGAGUUCAAGUGCAAUAAAAGAGAAGAUGAGAGGGUAGAACUGAUUUCUAAUCUCAGAAAUGCUUGGUAAUCUGGAUUAGGAACAAGUCAAACAUACCCAAAUGAAAGAUGAUAGUGUUACCAACAGAGGAGUCAUUUGAAAAGUGCUUAUGCUCAUGAAUUCUCAAAGUGUGAAGAUCCAUCUUUGUGGACCCUGUGUGCCUAUUGUGUACCCACACUACUUCUUAAUGGAUUUAGCAUGGAUGAAAUCUAUGAAAACAUUUCUAAAUAUCAAGUGGAGGCAAGCACAGGUGAAGGCAAGGUAGAAUGUAGUAAAGGCCAACCUGGUACAUUUGCAUGAUGCAAAUGUACGGAUGCAGGCCUCAGCAGAAGUAUCCAUGGAAACAAACUUUCUGGGGCUCUGAAGGAGCUGUGGAUGGAAGCAUAUUCAGUCCUCACAGAACCAAAUGAGUACCAGUUUAUGGUUCAGAAAGCCAAGAAUUCAAUAUAGAAGCACAUCAAGGGAAGAAGAUAUAGGGGCCUACAGUAACCCAUUUUCUCUAUUCAUUUAAACAUAACUCCACACAUCAUAAGGAAAAUGUACAAGAAAAUUUAUGAAGCUAUAUGAAAUCCAGUCUAAGGGGAAAAAAAUUCUAAGAAAAAGGUACUUUUAUUUUAAACUGAACGAUUCCAAAAUGUCUCUUGCCCAAAAGACAAAUGAGGUAACUCAGAAGAUAAGCAUCCUCAGAGAUUAGAAGUGUGCAGCAAA
rnacentral:lncRNA from 1 species